rnacentral:rRNA from 1 species
CUUAUUAUAACCUAAUAAAACUUUCAACAACGGAUCUCUUGGCUCUCGCAUCGAUGAAGAACGCAGCGAAAUGCGAUAAGUAAUGUGAAUUGCAGAAUUCAGUGAAUCAUCGAAUCUUUGAACGCACCUUGCGCUCUUUGGUAUUCCGAAGAGCAUGCC